rnacentral:tRNA from 1 species
UGCGAUGUGGUGUAAGGGUAGCACACGAGGCUCAUAACCUCGGAGAGAAGGUUCGACUCCUUCCAUCGCCU